rnacentral:rRNA from 1 species
ACGGGUGCGUAACGCGUGGGAAUCUGCCCUUGGGUUCGGAAUAACAGUUAGAAAUGACUGCUAAUACCGGAUGAUGUCUUCGGACCAAAGAUUUAUCGCCCAGGGAUGAGCCCGCGUAGGAUCAGGUAGUUGGUGGGGUAAUGGCCCACCAAGCCGACGAUCCUUAGCUGGUCUGAGAGGAUGAUCAGCCACACUGGGACUGAGACACGGCCCAGACUCCUACGGGAGGCAGCAGUGGGGAAUAUUGGACAAUGGGCGCAAGCCUGAUCCAGCAAUGCCGCGUGAGUGAUGAAGGCCUUAGGGUUGUAAAGCUCUUUUACCAGGGAUGAUAAUGACAGUACCUGGAGAAUAAGCUCCGGCUAACUCCGUGCCAGCAGCCGCGGUAAUACGGAGGGAGCUAGCGUUGUUCGGAAUUACUGGGCGUAAAGCGUACGUAGGCGGUUACUCAAGUCAGAGGUGAAAGCCCGGGGCUCAACCCCGGAACUGCCUUUGAAACUAGGUAGCUAGAAUCUUGGAGAGGUCAGUGGAAUUCCGAGU